rnacentral:rRNA from 1 species
CCUACGUGUGGCAGCAGUGGGGAAUAUUGGGCAAUGGGAGCAAGCCUGACCCAGCAACGCCGCGUGAAGGAAGAAGGCUUUCGGGUUGUAAACUUCUUUUCUGAGGGACGAAGAAAGUGACGGUACCUCAGGAAUAAGCCACGGCUAACUACGUGCCAGCAGCCGCGGUAAUACGUAGGUGGAAAGCGUUAUCGGGAUUUAUUGGGUGGAAAGGGGGUGUAGGGGGGAAAGCAAGUCAGAUGUGAACACUAAGGGCUCAACCCUGAGCCUGCAUUUGAAACUGUUUUUCUUUAGUGCUGGAGAGGCAAUCGGAAUGCCGUUUGUAGCGGUGAAAUGCGUAGAUAUACGGAGGAACACCAGUGGCGAAGGCGGAUUGCUGGACAUUAACUGACGCUGAGGCGCGAAAGCGUGGGGAGCAAACAGGAUUAGAUACCCCGGUAGUC